UCCGUAGGGCGAAAGCGUUGUCCGGAAUUAUUGGGCGUAAAGAGCUCGUAGGCGGUUUGUCGCGUCUGCUGUGAAAACCUAAGGCUCAACCUUGGGCUUGCAGUGGGUACGGGCAGACUAGAGUGCGGUAGGGGUGACUGGAAUUCCUGGUGUAGCGGUGGAAUGCGCAGAUAUCAGGAGGAACACCGAUGGCGAAGGCAGGUCACUGGGCCGCAACUGACGCUGAGGAGCGAAAGCAUGGGGAGCGAACAGG
rnacentral:rRNA from 1 species